rnacentral:rRNA from 1 species
GCUUUUUACAGGCUUAACACAUGCAAGUCGAGGGGCAUCAGGAAGAAAGCUUGCUUUCUUUGCUGGCGACCGGCGCACGGGUGAGUAACACGUAUCCAACCUGCCCUUUACUCGGGGAUAGCCUUUCGAAAGAAAGAUUAAUACCCGAUGGCAUAAUGAUUCCGCAUGGUUUCAUUAUUAAAGGAUUCCGGUAAAGGAUGGGGAUGCGUUCCAUUAGGUUGUUGGUGAGGUAACGGCUCACCAAGCCUUCGAUGGAUAGGGGUUCUGAGAGGAAGGUCCCCCACAUUGGAACUGAGACACGGUCCAAACUCCUACGGGAGGCAGCAGUGAGGAAUAUUGGUCAAUGGGCGCUAGCCUGAACCAGCCAAGUAGCGUGAAGGAUGAAGGCUCUAUGGGUCGUAAACUUCUUUUAUAUAAGAAUAAAGUGCAGUAUGUAUACUGUUUUGUAUGUAUUAUAUGAAUAAGGAUCGGCUAACUCCGUGCCAGCAGCCGCGGUAAUACGGAGGAUCCGAGCGUUAUCCGGAUUUAUUGGGUUUAAAGGGAGCGUAGGUGGACUGGUAAGUCAGUUGUGAAAGUUUGCGGCUCAACCGUAAAAUUGCAGUUGAUACUGUCAGUCUUGAGUACAGUAGAGGUGGGCGGAAUUCGUGGUGUAGCGGUGAAAUGCUUAGAUAUCACGAAGAACUCCGAUUGCGAAGGCAGCUCACUGGACUGCAACUGACACUGAUGCUCGAAAGUGUGGGUAUCAAACAGGAUUAGAUACCCUGGUAGUCCACACAGUAAACGAUGAAUACUCGCUGUUUGCGAUAUACAGUAAGCGGCCAAGCGAAAGCAUUAAGUAUUCCACCUGGGGAGUACGCCGGCAACGGUGAAACUCAAAGGAAUUGACGGGGGCCCGCACAAGCGGAGGAACAUGUGGUUUAAUUCGAUGAUACGCGAGGAACCUUACCCGGGCUUAAAUUGCAGUGGAAUGAUGUGGAAACAUGUCAGUGAGCAAUCACCGCUGUGAAGGUGCUGCAUGGUUGUCGUCAGCUCGUGCCGUGAGGUGUCGGCUUAAGUGCCAUAACGAGCGCAACCCUUAUCUUUAGUUACUAACAGGUUAUGCUGAGGACUCUAGAGAGACUGCCGUCGUAAGAUGUGAGGAAGGUGGGGAUGACGUCAAAUCAGCACGGCCCUUACGUCCGGGGCUACACACGUGUUACAAUGGGGGGUACAGAAGGCAGCUAGCGGGUGACCGUAUGCUAAUCCCAAAAGCCUCUCUCAGUUCGGAUCGAAGUCUGCAACCCGACUUCGUGAAGCUGGAUUCGCUAGUAAUCGCGCAUCAGCCACGGCGCGGUGAAUACGUUCCCGGGCCUUGUACACACCGCCCGUCAAGCCAUGGGAGCCGGGGGUACCUGAAGUACGUAACCGCAAGGAUCGUCCUAGGGUAAAACUGGUGACUGGGGCUAAGUCG